rnacentral:lncRNA from 1 species
UACAGGGGAGGGGCAGGGGGCAGGUGUGAUGGGUACAGGGGAGGGGACAGGUGUGAUGGGUACAGGGGAGGGGCAGGUUUGAUAGGCACAGUGGAGGGGGCAAGUGUGAUGGGCACAGGGGAGGGGGCAGGUGUGAUGGGCACAGGGGAGGGGCUGAUGUGAUAGGCACAGUGGAGAAGCUGGUGUGAUGGGCACGGGAGGGGCUGGUGUGAUGGGCACAGGGGAGUGGGCAAGUGUGAUGGGCACAGGGGAGGGGCUGGUGUGAGGAGCAUAAAGGAGGGGCAGGUGUGAUAGGCAUAGGGGAGGGGCUGGUGUAAUGGGCACAGGGGAGGAACUGCUGUGAUAGGCACAGGGGAAUGGGCAGGUGAGAUAGGUAGAGGGGAGGGGCAGGUGUGAUGCCUACAGCAGAGGGGACAGGUGUGAUGGGCACUGAGGAGGGGCUGGUGUAAUGGGCACAGGGAAGGGACUGCUAUGAUGGGCACAGGAGAGGGGCAGGUGUGAUAGGCACGGGGAGGAGCCGGUGUGAUGGGCACAGGGGAGGGAAGGGGCUGGUGUGAUAGGCACAGGGGAGAAGCUGGUGUGAUGGGCACAGGGGAGGGGCUGGUGUGAUGAGCACAGAGGAGAAGUGGUGUGAUGGGCACAAGGGAGGGGCUGGUGUGAUGGGCACAGGGGAGGUGCUGGUGUGAUGGACACAGAGAGGGGCUGGUGUGAUGGGUACAGGGGAGGGGGCAGGUGUAAUGGCUACAGGGGAAGGGCAGGUGUAAUCGGCACAGAAGAGAAGCUGGUGUGAUGGGCACAGAGGAGGGGCUGGUGUGAUGGGCACAGGGGAGGGACUGCUGUGAUGGGCACAGGGGAGGGUCAGGUGUGAUGGGCAUAGGGGAGGGGCUGGUGUGACAGGCACAGGGAAGGGGGUCAUGUGUGAUGGCAUGGGGAAGGGGACAGGUGUGAUAGGUACAGGGGAGGGGCUGGUGUAAUGGGCACAGGGGAGGAACUGCUGUGAUAGGCACAGGGGAGUGGGCAGGUGAGAUGGGUACAGGGGAGGGGCAGGUGUGAUGGCUACAGUGGAGGGGACAGGUGUGAUGGGCACAGGGGAGGGGCUGGUGUGAUGGACACAGGGUAGGGGCUGGUGUGAUGGGUACAGGGGAGGGGGCAGGUGUAAUGGCUACAGGGGAGGGGCAGGUGUAAUGGGCACAGAGGAGAAGCUGGUGUGAUGGGCACAGGGGAGGUGCUGGUGUGAUGGGCACAGGGGAGGGGCAGAUGUGAUGGGCACAGGAGAGGGGCAGGUGUGAUGGGCAUAGGGGAAGGGCUGGUGUGAUGGGCACAGGGGAGGGACUUCUGUGAUAGGCACAGGGGAGAAGCUGGUGUGAUGGGCACAGGGGAGGGGCUGGUGUGAUGGGCACAGGGGAGGGGCUGAUGUCAUGGUCACAGAGGAAGGAGCAGUUGUGAUGGGCACAGGGGCGUGGCCUUGUGUGAUGGGCACAGGGGAGGGGCUGGUGUGAUGGGCCCUGGUGAGAGGAACAGGUGUGCUUUGGAGAAACCAGCUUUUUCUGCACAAAGAGGAUUCCCCUCAAACACAGAAAAUUAUUCCUAAUAUCUGCCUCCUGGGGACAGAGAACUUCCAGGUGGGAAGCCGAGCAUGAGGCUAAGCAUGUUCCCUGAAGGGGAGGCUGAACCCGGCCUCCAGCAGAAGUUAAUGGAACUGAGACUGGGGCUGUCGUGGGGCUGGAAGCCAAGGCAAAUCUCUGGACCCAGGCUUCCAUGGAGUGGCUACCAGCAUUCCCACUGGUCCA